GAUGAACGCUGGCGGCGUGCCUAAUACAUGCAAGUCGAGCGAACGGACGAGAAGCUUGCUUCUCUGAUGUUAGCGGCGGACGGGUGAGUAACACGUGGAUAACCUACCUAUAAGACUGGGAUAACUUCGGGAAACCGGAGCUAAUACCGGAUAAUAUUUUGAACCGCAUGGUUCAAAAGUGAAAGACGGUCUUGCUGUCACUUAUAGAUGGAUCCGCGCUGCAUUAGCUAGUUGGUAAGGUAACGGCUUACCAAGGCAACGAUGCAUAGCCGACCUGAGAGGGUGAUCGGCCACACUGGAACUGAGACACGGCCCAGACUCCUACGGGAGGCAGCAGUAGGGAAUCUUCCGCAAUGGGCGAAAGCCUGACGGAGCAACGCCGCGUGAGUGAUGAAGGUCUUCGGAUCGUAAAACUCUGUUAUUAGGGAAGAACAUAUGUGUAAGUAACUGUGCACAUCUUGACGGUACCUAAUCAGAAAGCCACGGCUAACUACGUGCCAGCAGCCGCGGUAAUACGUAGGUGGCAAGCGUUAUCCGGAAUUAUUGGGCGUAAAGCGCGCGUAGCGGUUUUUUAGUCUGAUGUGAAAGCCCACGGCUCAACCGUGGAGGGUCAUUGGAAACUGGAAAACUUGAGUGCAGAAGAGGAAAGUGGAAUUCCAUGUGUAGCGGUGAAAUGCGCAGAGAUAUGGAGGAACACCAGUGGCGAAGGCGACUUUCUGGUCUGUAACUGACGCUGAUGUGCGAAAGCGUGGGGAUCAAACAGGAUUAGAUACCCUGGUAGUCCACGCCGUAAACGAUGAGUGCUAAGUGUUAGGGGGUUUCCGCCCCUUAGUGCUGCAGCUAACGCAUUAAGCACUCCGCCUGGGGAGUACGACCGCAAGGUUGAAACUCAAAGGAAUUGACGGGGACCCGCACAAGCGGUGGAGCAUGUGGUUUAAUUCGAAGCAACGCGAAGAACCUUACCAAAUCUUGACAUCCUUUGACAACUCUAGAGAUAGAGCCUUCCCCUUCGGGGGACAAAGUGACAGGUGGUGCAUGGUUGUCGUCAGCUCGUGUCGUGAGAUGUUGGGUUAAGUCCCGCAACGAGCGCAACCCUUAAGCUUAGUUGCCAUCAUUAAGUUGGGCACUCUAAGUUGACUGCCGGUGACAAACCGGAGGAAGGUGGGGAUGACGUCAAAUCAUCAUGCCCCUUAUGAUUUGGGCUACACACGUGCUACAAUGGACAAUACAAAGGGCAGCGAAACCGCGAGGUCAAGCAAAUCCCAUAAAGUUGUUCUCAGUUCGGAUUGUAGUCUGCAACUCGACUACAUGAAGCUGGAAUCGCUAGUAAUCGUAGAUCAGCAUGCUACGGUGAAUACGUUCCCGGGUCU
rnacentral:rRNA from 1 species